GCGGAAGUGACGGUUAUUCCUCCUGCGCGGGAGCUUUGGGGACGCACUUCUGGAUGCCUAGGCCUCUUCCGUUUGCCUCUGGGACUGGCGAUACUCGAGAUGUCUUGAGGCCUUCCAGACCUUGCUCCACCUCCACCACCAGGUCUCCAGUCCUGAGCCACAUGCUGCCAUUUUUGUCUCAGAAGCACCCCUCUUCCAGGUGGAAGAUUGAAGGUCUGAAGAGUGGGAAGUCCCAGGAACAGGCAAUUCCAGGAAGAUAUGAGGAAAAUCAAGAAAGAGAAGGAAACUGAAGCUAGUGGGAAGUGCUUCAAGUUGGAGAUGAUGCUGAGAUGGCCAAAAAGUGAGAGGUGGAAAACAUUUGGAUUUUCAAACCUGAGUGAAUGAAUGAAUAAACGGACCUGGGAAUUGAUCAACAAUGGCUGCUGCAUCGC
rnacentral:lncRNA from 10 species